rnacentral:rRNA from 1 species
UACGGAGGAUGCAAGCGUUAUCCGGAAUGAUUGGGCGUAAAGCGUCCGCAGGUGGCUAUGUAAGUCUGCUGUUAAAGAGUGAGGCUCAACCUCAUAAGAGCAGUGGAAACUACAUGGCUAGAGUGCGUUCGGGGCAGAGGGAAUUCCUGGUGUAGCGGUGAAAUGCGAAGAUAUCAGGAAGAACACCGGUGGCGAAAGCGCUCUGCUAGGCCGCAACUGACACUGAGGGACGAAAGCUAGGGGAGCGAAUGGG